AUUGAACGCUGGCGGCAGGCCUAACACAUGCAAGUCGAGCGAGCGGCGGACGGGUGAGUAAUGUAUGGGGACUGCCCGAUAGAGGGGGAUAACUACUGGAGACGGUGGCUAAUACCGCAUACUAUCAGAUAACCCAUAUGGGAUUAGCUAGUGGGUGGGGUAAAGGCUCACCUAGGCGACGAUCCCUAGCGGGUCUGAGAGGAUGAUCAGCAACACUGGAACUGAGACACGGCCCAGACUCCUACGGAGGAGGCAGUGGGGAAUAUUGGACAAUGGGCGCAAGCCUGAUGCAGCAAUGCGGCGUGUAUGAAGAAGGCCUUAGGGUUGUAAAGUACGUUCAGCGGGGAGGCGUUACCCGCAGAAGAAGCGCCGGCUAACUCCGUGCCAGCAGCCGCGGUAAUAC
rnacentral:rRNA from 1 species